ACCGCGCGCCCCGCCCGUAGUGUUGCGCUGAGCCGCGCGCCGCGAGUGAUCUGCAAGUGAUGACGACUUGUGACUAGUGCGAUGCUCGUGCUGCGCUGUGCCCUGUUUGCGGCUCUGCUCGCUGCCGCCUCCGCCGCCUGGCAGGAGAACGUUCGCCCGAAGGUCUUCGCGCAAUUAGCGAUGUUGCGGAUCAUUUCGGCGGUUGCAUGCG
rnacentral:misc_RNA from 1 species